rnacentral:rRNA from 1 species
GAUGAACGCUGGCGGCGUGCCUAAUACAUGCAAGUCGAGCGAACAGACGAGGAGCUUGCUCCUCUGACGUUAGCGGCGGACGGGUGAGUAACACGUGGAUAACCUACCUAUAAGACUGGGAUAACUUCGGGAAACCGGAGCUAAUACCGGAUAACAUGUUGAACCACAUGGUUCAACAGUGAAAGACGGUCUUGCUGUCACUUAUAGAUGGAUCCGCGCCGCAUUAGCUAGUUGGUAGGGUAACGGCUUACCAAGGCAACGAUGCGUAGCCGACCUGAGAGGGUGAUCGGCCACACUGGAACUGAGACACGGUCCAGACUCCUACGGGAGGCAGCAGUAGGGAAUCUUCCGCAAUGGGCGAAAGCCUGACGGAGCAACGCCGCGUGAGUGAAGAAGGUCUUCGGAUCGUAAAACUCUGUUAUUAGGGAAGAACAAAUGUGUAAGUAACUAUGCACGUCUUGACGGUACCUAAUCAGAAAGCCACGGCUAACUACGUG